rnacentral:lncRNA from 1 species
GUAGCGCAUGACCGAGGGCAACAGCUGAAAUUUGGGAUGGGGAGGGUGUGUUUGGUUUGAGGUGAUGUUAUGAGCCAUCUUUCUGACUGUAUGAAGACACAAGUCAGUGGCAGACGUGGUGUGGCAGUAAUUUUAUUUGCCUUGUGGAUGAUUCUGGCCACUUGUCCUUGUCAUUAAGGAGGAGGUGACCAUACCAAGCGGACAGGGUGAUUGCUGCAUUAACGACCUUUUCAACCGUGCUGUCCUCAAAGACUCCUCCAGUGUUACCGGAAAGACAGGUGUCAAUAAUAUUCCAGGCGUCAUUAGGAAUUAAAGUGCUACAAAAUGGAACCAGCCCUAGUUGCUGUAUGCGUCACCACGGGCAUCAAAGUAGGAGUUUGGAUGACUCUCCCUGCUGUUUUGGCAUUGGCAUUGGCACUGGUACUUGCUCUGACGAUUGUAGCCUGUGUUGGAGUGUAUUGUUAUUUUAAAUAUAGGAAGCAAACACAGUGAUCUUCUGGGCUGUCUGAAAAUGAACCCACCAAUAAUUAGACCUGGAGAGAGCGGGACAACAGGGAAACAAUGUACUUGGUGGAUGUACUCAGUGGUGUAGGCAUACAUUAUUUGACAAUGUAAGCCGUUUGAUUGCACUUUUUCAGUAAUUUUGUUUACUGCUGCAACUUUUUGCAAAAAUUAGAACGCUUACAAUGUAGUGAAUAAUUAAGUGAAAACAAAUUGAAAAUAUCACAAUGUUGUAUUAGGCUAUCACAGACCAGCCAUGUGCAGCUUUUAGAUAAUUACAUGUCUUCAUUCAGAUGAAAUUGUGGUUCUGUUUACUUUAAAUGCCAUUAUAGAUAUGCAUAUCGAUGAAUACAAAAACAUAUAAAUAUCUAAGAGCAUGCAAGAGAAGUCAGAAAGUUGGUCAAUCAAAAUGAAGUAAAGCAUAUCGAUGUUAUUUUUUUUCGAUAUCCAUUUUGUUUUGAUGUGAUUUUAUUGCACCGUUCAUAUUCUUGUUUUAUUAUCCAGCAUAUUUUUUCUCUCUUGGUAAGUUUGUUGACUUCUAAGCAGCGCUGCCUUAAACUUUUGACAGAAAGAACCAGAAAGUCAACUGUUCCACAAUAACACUGCAACAUGUUUAAAGUGAAUGGAAAAAUUAGAGAAAAAGUCAAAGUUGAAUAUGAAGAUAGUUAUUGCCGAUUCGUAAACAAUUAUGUUGUGUAGCUGAUGCCAUUGUAGAGAAAAAAUCUGUGACCGAUAACAUAUGCGGUUAUCAAGAGAGAGAGAGUAGUUUGUUCUGAAUCAUUUAAAGUAUUUACUUUCGUUUAAUUUAUAAUUUCUCUCAAUUACUUGCUACUUGCCCUCAACUUAUUUUGAUUAGUACCUUCAGGCGUUUUAGUCAAACAGAUGAAAAUUACAGGAGACAAUAUAUAUAUAAAGCUUGAUAAAGAGAUUUUAAAAUUAAUAGAAUUUCCCAUACCUUUUGUUUUUGUUUUUCUGUUCAUAAAGUAAUAUAUCUUUAAACUGUCUAAGAUAAGAUACACAUUUUAGCAAAUGUAUACUUUUUAACUAAAACCCAAAUUCUCAAUGAUUAUUCCUACAGUUGUUGUAUAGAGAGAGUUACUGAGAGACGCAGAGUAAACUAAUGAGCUUUAAGCUUUUACUGUCGUGGAGACAAGCGAGUGUUUGACCACUUCACUACCUAGCAUCACAGGGUCCUUAAACUUGAAAAGCCUUUUAUAACUCAAUAAAACACACACACACACACAAACACAAAAACACAAGCACCGGGAGUACUAACGUUUUGUAGGAUGCAGGGCGAGUAAAUAUAAGGCUUAAAGAAUGGAAAUUGUCUCUAGCUAUACAAUUAAUUUGAUAGAAGUGAUUCCAUCAUAUAAAAUUAUUACCAGAAAGAGAAAUUUUUGGUAAAACCAAAGCAUUUCAUUUAUAUUAUGCUAAAGAAUUUAAAUUCAGUACAUUUUAAUAUACGCAAAUGUAGACGGCAUUAUAGCUAUUCAAUUUAGUUCUGUAAAGAUAGACUGCAUCCCAUAAUUAUACAACUGAAUUGUGAGCAAAAUGAUAGUCGUUGACAUGCAGUUUUAGAAGAUUAGCCUAGUUUCAGCAAGUUUCUACGUUUGACUGUCUUUGUUUUUGUUUUCGUUUUCGUUUUCGGGAAAGACCGAUCAAACAGUCAGAAGGUGUGAAAACAUUUGCAUGCAAAUAUCUAUCCUUGUAUAUAUAUAUAUAUUCAAUUUAGUUCUAUAAAAACGACUACAUUCUAUUAUUAUAGAACUGAGUAACGAAUAUUCUUGGCAUGCAAUUUUUGAAGGACAGCCAAUCACAAACGUCCGUACAACAACAACAACAAUGUUUGACUACAUGUUCACCUAGUUUCUACGUUUGACUGUCUUUGUUUUUGUUUUCGUGAAAGACCGAUCAUACAGCCACAAGGUGUGAAAACAUUUGCAUGUAAAUAUUUGGGAUAGAAUCAAAACAAUGAAGUCAUUACUAAAACUGGCAUGGCUCUUUAUUUUUUGUAGUAAUGACAGUGUCUGCUGCGGUGAUCAACAAAAUCACAGAUAAACACUUAAAAUAUUGGUGACAUACUCGCUUUUAGCCACGUCAGUAAAUAUUUACACUAUUUCUCUCUCAUUGAUGUGUUUGUUAGCUUUUUUGCAGAAUUUCUAAUAAAAUUAGUUUUAUAAUGUA